GACGAACGCUGGCGGCGUGCUUAACACAUGCAAGUCGAACGGAAAGGCCCUGCUUGCAGGGUACUCGAGUGGCGAACGGGUGAGUAACACGUGGGUGAUCUGCCCUGCACUUCGGGAUAAGCUUGGGAAACUGGGUCUAAUACCGGAUAGGAGCCAUCUUUAGUGUGGUGGUUGGAAAGUUUUUUCGGUGUAGGAUGAGCUCGCGGCCUAUCAGCUUGUCGGUGGGGUAAUGGCCUACCAAGGCGGCGACGGGUAGCCGGCCUGAGAGGGUGUACGGCCACAGGGGGCUGGAGUGCCGCCCCAGACUCCGAGGGGGGGAAGCAGGGGGAAAGAUGGAAAAAGGGGGGAAGGCCGGAGGCAGCGACGCGGGGGGGGGGAGGAGGGCUUGGGGGUUAAAAACCCUUUCCGCUGGGGACAAAGUUUUGUUGUGAGGUUACUAAAAAAAGAAGCCCGGGCAAACUCGGUC
rnacentral:rRNA from 1 species